rnacentral:tRNA from 1 species
UGAGGCGUCGUCUAAUUGGCAGGACACCGGAUUUUGGUUCCGGUAAUCGGGGUUCAAAUCCCUGCGCCUCAGCCA